CCUACGGGAGGCAGCAGUGGGGAAUAUUGCACAAUGGGCGAAAGCCUGAUGCAGCAACGCCGCGUGAGUGAUGAAGGCCUUCGGGUUGUAAAGCUCUGUCUUCAGGGACGAUAAUGACGGUACCCGAGGAGGAAGCCACGGCUAACUACGUGCCAGCAGCCGCGGUAAU
rnacentral:rRNA from 1 species